UACGGAAGGCAGCAGUGGGGAAUAUUGCACAAUGGGCGAAAGCCUGAUGCAGCUAUGCCGCGUGUAUGAAGAAGGCCUUAGGGUUGUAAAGUACUUUCAUCGGGGAGGAAAAAACAAAACUAAUAAUUUUAUUUCUUGACGUUACCCGAAAAAGAAGCACCGGCUAACUCCGUGCCAGCAGCCGUGGUAAUACGGAGGGUGCUAGCGUUAAUCAGAAUUACUGGGCGUAAAGAGCACGUAGGUGGUUUUUUUAAGUCAGAUGUGAAAUCCCUGGGCUUAACCUAGGAACUGCAUUUUGAAACUGAAAUACUAGAGUAUCGUAGAGGGAGGUAGAAUUCUAGGUGUAGCGGUGAAAUGCGUAGAUAUCUGGAGGAAUACCUGUGGCGAAGGCGGCCCCUGGACAAAGACUGACGCUCAUGUGCGAAAGCGUGGGGAGCAAACAGGGAUUUAGAUACC
rnacentral:rRNA from 1 species